GAGGAGGAGAUCUGACCCGGUAUGGCGUCGGCUGCAUCCGGCAGUGCCCCGGGCUCGCGCAGGGGUCAGGGCGGGAGCCGCUCGCGGCGGCCCCCGACUUGGGAGAUCUCGGACUCGGACGCCGAAGGCUCCAUCAGUGCGGAGGCCGCCAAGAAGGCCCAGGACCCAGUCGAGAAGCGCCGGGCGGCAGCCGAGGCGCUGCGGCUGCUGCGGCCUGACCAGGCCCUGAGGAGCCUCACCGUGCGCGUGGACCCAGGUGUGGCUGAGGCCAUUCUGGAAGAUGCGAGUGCAGACAUCCUGAUGGAGGCCCUGGAGGCUUUGGGCUGUGAGUAUCAUGUCGAGCCCCAGUGCCCCACGCGGAGCCUUCGGUGGAGCCGAGUGAAGCCCGAUCCUUGUCCUUGCCCCUACAGCGUGUCUCCUGAGGUGUGGGAGGCAGAGGAACAGGAACUGCUGCUGCUUCUGGAGCCUGAGGAGUUUCUGUAUGGCCUCGCCCAGCUGACUCAGGUCUCUAGCCCAGCCCGCGCAGUGCCCUGGACCUUUCCUGAGAUCCCCUCCUGCCCUCAUCUGGCCAUUAUUGGGCUGGACGCUUACCUGUGCUCUCACCAGCCCAUCCCCAAGGAGGCACACCAGCCAGAGAGUCCAGAGGUGGCCCAUGCCAAGGUGGCUGUCAGCUGGCCAGAGGUGGAGGAGGCCUUGGUGCUUCUGCAGCUCUGGGCAAAUCUAGACGUGUUGCUGGUGGCCUCUUGGAAGGAGCUGAGUCAGCAUGUCUGUGCCAUCACCAAAGCCCUUGCUCAGCGCCCUUUCAAGCAGUACAAGGAGUCCCAUGCCUUUUCCUUCUGCACCGCAGGGCACUGGGCAGUGGGCAAGCCAGUGACAAGGGAUGGCACAGGGCUACGGAGGGUCUGGUGGAGGCAGAUCAGGCAGUUUAAUCGGGUCAGCCCAGCUGUGGCUGAUGCUGUUGUCACUGCCUUCCCCUCCCCCCGCCUUCUACAGCAGGCACUCAAGGCCUGCAGCACAGAGCAGGAGCGCAUGGGCCUCCUGGCUGACCUCCCAGUGAAGGCUGGUAAGGGCAUACGGCCCCGUAGAGUGGGACCUGACCUCUCCCGUCGCAUCUGCCUCUUCCUGACCACCACCAACCCUGAUCUCCUGUUGGACCUGGGCUCCUGACUACAGCUGCAGGACCUGAACAAAAGUUCUUCAAGGGAAGCCUGUUCCCUCUGAUCUUGCCUUUUACAACUGCACAGUGGCCACAGUUACUAAAUGAACUGAAUGAGUCAACAGGUGAGACAGCUGAGUAAGGAAGUCUCUGUCAGAGACAGGCACCUGUGGGGAGAUGGGUAGCCCCCUAAGAAACCACCUGCAGCAUGUGUUGCCCCAGAGGGAGCCUGCCUCUUCAGAAGCCACAAAGAACCAGGACCCAGGAAGCUCGCUUAGCUUCCAGGCAAAUGUGGUCUAUUAGGAACCAACUUCAGAAUAGCUGUCCUCUGAAGAGGAAGGUCCUACCCUGAAGAGAAAGCAGACCCAGAGGACUACAUGCCUAUGGCAUGGGAGGGGGACCACCCCAAAGCCAAGGUAGGCCCACUGAGUCAGGAGCCAGGGUCCAGAACUGAACCCUGAGGCUAUCACUCCAGCUCCCUGGGAAGGAGAAAGACUCGAUCCCACUGGCAGCUCUGUGGGCAAAGGGAACAGAGAUGUAUGUCAAUUCAAUCUUCCAAGGUGCCCAGAACGACCUGCCCAGGCACAUGCCUACAGGCCCAUUUGGUGACAGAGGACAAGCAGCAUGCAUGUGUCAGAGACUGUGCCCGGCCUGUAGACACUACCUGCCUGCCACGCCAUGAGCCUAUAAGAUGGGCAGACAGCAGCCUGCUCAGCCAUAUGACUAGUGGAAGGUGGAGGCAGGAAAGGUAUGUAGGCCUGGCCUCUGUCUGGAGCAGGUUGGUUGGCAAACUAAGGCUUCUGAUCCUCCCCCAAUGCCUGGUGGUCCUGUAGGGAGCUAAGGGAGAAGCCCUUGGUUGGAGGAGACGGACCCAGUCCCUUCCAGGAUACCUGGCUGAGACAACAAGGCAGAGACAAUUCACCCAAGCAACAGCUCCACCAGGUAACAGCCAAACUCCUACUCUGGUCUAAGGAAGAUCUCAAGAAACCAGCUGAGAAAUCUCACCCUCUUCCUGCCUCACUGUCACCCAUCAGGCAGAAAGCCUACCCAAAGGGCCCUGCCACAGCAGCAUAGCCCACCAAGCGAGGCUGUGGCUGCAAAGCCCACAGGUACACUGGCCAGCCUGGGCUACAGACAAACACCUGAGCCUCUCCAUGGACCUUCAUAUUUGGGGGCUUUCCUGAAUGGGAAAAGGCCCAGGAAUUUUGGUUUUCAAGAAUCAGGGUUCUCUUUUUCUUACAUGUAUAUACAGAAUACAUAUUUGUACUGGCAGAAAAAAGAUCUAGAAGUUAGUCACAGCUAUCUCUGGAAACUGGUUGGAUAAAUACAAUGGAGAAUUUCUUUUUUUUUUUUUUGUAGAAGUGCCGUGGCCUCACCCAGCUCACAGCAACCUCCAACUCCUGGGCCCAAGCGAUUCUAUUGCCUCAGCCUCCCGAGUAGCUGGGACUACAGGUGCCCGCCACAACACCCGGCUAUUUUUUGGUUGCAGUUUUGGCCAGGGCUGGGUUUGAACCCGCCACCCUCGGUAUAUGGGGCUGGCGCCCUACCGACUGAGCCACAGGCGCCGCCCUUUUUUUUUUUGGCCAGGGCUAGGUUUGAACCUGCCACCUCCAGCAUAUGGGACCGGCGCCCCACUCCUUGAGCCACAGGCGCCACCCCAACAACCUGCAUUUUUGUUAGGGGCAAACAGAGGCUCAAAGCGGUGGAGUGGCUUGAUCUAUGCUCUGUAGCUGCUACGUGCUGGAGCUAGGGCUUGAGCCCAGGUGGCCUGACUCCCAGGCCAGAGCAGGAGCUGCUGCCCUCCACACCCUGUUACAGCAGCUGGUUGUCAACUGCCUUAAGAGGAGAAUUGAAGGAUUCAGGGAAACAGCAGGGAUUUGGUCCAUCUAUGUGGCUGCAGCUGAAUGCUUCAGACAGUCUCAUGCUGAGUCUGCCUGUAGGAGCAACACGAAGCUAUUGGGCACAUUGGUGCCCAGCUGGGGCUUGGGCCUGCCCUCUACACACGUCAGUACCCCUUGCCCAGCCUUUCUCCCCAC